rnacentral:lncRNA from 1 species
CGGUGACGGAGAUUUUUUUUUUGGUUUUCUGUAAGAACGGUGACGGAGAUAGAGAGGGAUUGCAGUUUCUUCAACGCCGUCACGAGCGGUCUUCACUAAGGCUGUCGUGAUGCCACGUGUCAGUCAGCACUUUCGUGCGAGUCUUCCAGGUGUCGCGGUGGCGUGACCGCCCACCUGGGGUGGCCAACUACCCCGCCCGGUCACGCCUGCCUCUCCAAUCGAACGCUGGAUGGAAUAAGCGGUAAUGGGACCUCGAGGACAGCAUAUUCCAUUGGUUCCUGGUCUCCUGGGACCCAGGGAUGCAAGACCGCAAUA